rnacentral:rRNA from 1 species
CCUACGGGCGGCAGCAGUGGGGAAUAUUGGACAAUGGGCGAAAGCCUGAUCCAGCCAUGCCGCGUGUGUGAAGAAGGCCUUCGGGUUGUAAAGCACUUUCAGUGGGGAAGAAAGCCUUGGGGCUAAUACCCUCGAGGAAGGACAUCACCCACAGAAGAAGCACCGGCUAACUCCGUGCCAGCAGCCGCGGGAAUACGGAGGGUGCGAGCGUUAAUCGGAAUUACUGGGCGUAAAGCGCGCGUAGGCGGUCUGAUAAGCCGGUUGUGAAAGCCCCGGGCUCAACCUGGGAACGGCAUCCGGAACUGUCAGGCUAGAGUGCAGGAGAGGAAGGUAGAAUUCCCGGUGUAGCGGUGAAAUGCGUAGAGAUCGGGAGGAAUACCAGUGGCGAAGGCGGCCUUCUGGACUGACACUGACGCUGAGGUGCGAAAGCGUGGGUAGCAAACAGGAUUAGAUACCCGAGUAGUC